rnacentral:lncRNA from 10 species
CCCAGAGUGAAAGACAGAGGAACCAAUCGAGGCUCGGCUGACCUCAGACGUCUAAGGCGAUAGGCGUUGCUAAGAAAAGGGGGUGGGACGAUACCCAGUUGCCAAGACGACGGCUUCCGGGUGGGCGGCUUGAGGUGGCUUCCGGCCGCCAGGCGAGACUCCGCGGGAAAACUCCCUGCUAGAGAGACUAGGAGAUUUGGGGCUGCGGCCGUUUCCUCCGGAGCACCCACGGGACUGUGUGCUGGGGUCCCUCCACCGGCUGUGUCCUUUAUUCUUCUUUCUCACCCAACGAUUUACCUGAACGGUUAUAAAGUGCACGUUAUUUCCCUAAGCACUUUGAGUAUAUUGGCCCACUGCAUUCUGGACUUCAAAAUUUCUGAUGCGAAAUAUGCUGAUACUUUUGUUGAAGAAAUCUGGUCCUUCUUACUGAUGUGUUGCUCUUCUUCAUGGCUCGUGAAAACUAUUAGAGUCAUCCAAGGGUGGGAAGAGAGAUCAGCAACGUUAACUGGGUGUCAAGAAAACAUACCGAGAUUGAAGCCAUCCACUUCUGCAGGAACACCGAAAAGAAAGGUACAACGCUUGGGGAAAGACUGGAUUUCAUUAGGGACAGUGACAAUACCUGUUUGACAUAGAGGUUCCAGCGCUGGCCAGGGAACUCCCUGAGCACUAGUAAUGCCAGUGUCAGUUGUAGAAUUCUUUUAAAAUUUGAGUUAAUAGGGUCACUACUUUUUGAAUGCCUGCUGCAGAAACUAAGAAAAAUGGCUGGCUGAGCCAAUAGAAGAGGAUUUUGUAGCUCAACUCCUGGGGAAGAAAAUACUCCUUUUGACGGAGGGCAGGUGCUGUAGACCUUGCAAGGACAUAGCCAGUCUGCAAUGUCAUCUAGGCCCACCCGCUAAAGUUUUAAAAGUAAAGUAAAGUAUUU